rnacentral:rRNA from 1 species
UACGUAGGGUGCAAGCGUUAAUCGGAAUUACUGGGCGUAAAGCGUGCGCAGGCGGUUGUGCAAGACAGAUGUGAAAUCCCCGGGCUCAACCUGGGAAUUGCAUUUGUGACUGCACGGCUAGAGUGUGUCAGAGGGGGGUAGGAUUCCACGUGUAGCAGUGAAAUGCGUAGAGAUGUGGAGGAAUACCGAUGGCGAAGGCAGCCCCCUGGGAUAACACUGACGCUCAUGCACGAAAGCGUGGGGAGCAAACAGG